CUACGUUGACUGGUUGGUUUGAUCUAUACGAUUUACAACUUUAAUACUUUAUUGCUUAUGCUCCACUACUUCCACUGGACUGAAGUUAAUAAAUGAGAACUAAUUUGUAUUGCCACAGGUUCAUUCAUCUAGGGCACAAAAUUCUUUUCUACUUCACCUCCUAUUGACCUCUGUGCUUUAGUUUCCUUUUCCCUUUGGGUGGACAGAAGAUUGAUCCAGUGUGGAGUGGUCUGAUUUGGGUGAGGAGCAAUUCGAUGGGAACAGGACUGGCAGCCUAGCAAGCCAGUAGCUCAAUGCUUGCAUCCUGCAGUGUAGGCACGGAAGCAUUCCUCACAACCGAACAACAACAACAACCAGCACAUGUCUGAUUGAAGCUACAUAGAUCCUCAGUGGCUAAAAGAUUAAGGAUGCCUUAAGGUCGAGAAUUUUUUCAAAUGGAGACAUGAAGUGGAGCGCAUGUAUGAGUCUUUGAUUCAAACACUUAAGACGAAGCUGUCAAAGACUACAUAUCUGUGCCCUUGAGUAGCAUUUCCUCUGCGAGUUGCUAUUUCCCAUAUUUGCAGAUGUUCAUGCGCAGGAGAAAAAUAAAUAGCAAUUGUGUCAUGCUUAACAUGUUGCCUAAUUACAUGAAUCAAAAAAAUUUCUUGACUGAUGAGUAUGGCAAAUACUGGAAAAACGUUGCAUGUGAAGCAUUUUUCUUUUGAUAGCAUGAGAAAUGCUCCAUCAUCUGUUUUUUUUCAUGCACCUGCAGUAUGAAAGAAUGUACUUCUAUAUCUAAAGUUCUCUAAUAAAUAUAAGUAAUAUAUUUGUAUGUGUUA